rnacentral:rRNA from 1 species
UACAGAGGUCUCAAGCGUUGUUCGGAUUCAUUGGGCGUAAAGGGUGCGUAGGUGGCGCUGUAAGUCGGGUGUGAAAUUUCGGAGCUUAACUCCGAAACUGCAUUCGAUACUGCGGUGCUUGAGGACUGGAGAGGAGACUGGAAUUCAUGGUGUAGCAGUGAAAUGCGUAGAGAUCCGGAAGAACACCGGUGGCGAAGGCGGCCUGCUGGGCAGUAGCUGACGCUGAGGCGCGACAGCGUGGGGAGCAAACAGG